rnacentral:rRNA from 1 species
GACGAACGCUGGCGGCGUGCCUAAUACAUGCAAGUAGAACGCUGAAGGAGGAGCUUGCUUCUCUGGAUGAGUUGCGAACGGGUGAGUAACGCGUAGGUAACCUGCCUGGUAGUGGGGGAUAACUAUUGGAAACGAUAGCUAAUACCGCAUAAUAGCAGUUGUUGCAUGAUAACUGUUUGAAAGGUGCAAUUGCACCGCUACCAGAUGGACCUGCGUUGUAUUAGCUAGUUGGUGGGGUAACGGCUCACCAAGGCGACGAUACAUAGCCGACCUGAGAGGGGGACCCCACAACUGGGGUGGGGGAAACGGCCCACACCCCGGGGGGGGGCCGCAGUAGGGAAUCUUGCGGAAGGGAGCGAGGUUGAAUCGGGGACCCCGGGGGGAAGGAAGAUGGUUUCCGGACGUGAAAGUGCUGUUGGAAGUAAGGAAGGAGUGGGGGGGUGGAAAGUACGAUCUUGACCGUACCGUAACCAAAAGGGGCGGCCAACCUCGUG